GGAACAAUUGGUACUCACUCUCACCAGACUAUUCCCUUAAAGUGGGAGGUCAAGGGUUCGAGCAGUGGGGGAGGCGACCUAAUUUCCUAAGGGAAAUUUAGGCCAAAUCCACUUGGGGAAGGAUGCGUUUGACGAGAACCCAAGGGGACAAAUCCUGCCUGGAACCCGUGAGGGUGAAGGGAUGUUAAGAGCUGCUCACAGUGGCUGGGCCCAGAGGAAGGUCACGGGCUGUGAGCGGUAACAGUGCCGGACCCAGAGGAAGGCCGGGCUGUUACA
rnacentral:lncRNA from 1 species